UAGCACCUCAAAUUUGCACCUACCAUUAUACAUACAUUUUCAUAUUAGGUCAUAGCAUAUCAUGAUCCAUUGCAUAGCAUUUGCAUUGUCCCUCAGUUGCCUCAAGAGCAAGCAAUCAAGAAUUAGGUCAAACUAAUCUCCUGAUCAGUCAACCAAGCAAGCAAAAGAAUUUCUCAUUGAAUCAAGGCCUUGGGGUUUGUCC
rnacentral:lncRNA from 1 species